rnacentral:rRNA from 1 species
UACAGAGGUCUCAAGCGUUGUUCGGAUUCAUUGAGCGUAAAGGGUGCGUAGGCGGCGCGGUAAGUCGGGUGUGAAAUCUUGGAGCUUAACUCCGAAACUGCAUUCGAUACUGCCGUGCUUGAGGACUGGAGAGGAGACUGGAAUUUACGGUGUAGCGGUGAAAUGCGUAGAUAUCGUAAGGAAGACCAGUGGCGAAGGCGGGUCUCUGGACAGUUCCUGACGCUGAAGCACGAAGGCCAGGGGAGCAAACGGG